GUGAGGAAUAUUGGACAAUGGGCGCAAGCCUGAUCCAGCCAUGCCGCGUGCAGGAAGACGCAUCUAUGGUGUGUAAACUGCUUUUGUACGGGAAGAAACACUCCCUCGUGAGGGAGCUUGACGGUACCGUAAGAAUAAGGAUCGGCUAACUCCGUGCCAGCAGCCGCGGUAAUACGGAGGAUCCAAGCGUUAUCCGGAAUCAUUGGGUUUAAAGGGUCCGUAGGCGGUUUAAUAAGUCAGUGGUGAAAGCCCAUCGCUCAACGAUGGAACGGCCAUUGAUACUGUUAGACUUGAAUACAAGGAAGUAACUAGAAUAUGUAGUGUAGCGGUGAAAUGCUUAGAUAUUACAUGGAAUACCAAUUGCGAAGGCAGGUUACUACUUGUGGAUUGACGCUGAUGGACGAAAGCGUGGGGAGCGAACAGGAUUAGAAACCCGUGUAGUCC
rnacentral:rRNA from 1 species